rnacentral:rRNA from 1 species
UGGGGAAUUUUGGACAAUGGGGGAAACCCUGAUCCAGCCAUCCCGCGUGUGCGAUGAAGGCCUUCGGGUUGUAAAGCACUUUUGGCAGGAAAGAAACGUCAUGGGUUAAUACCCCGUGAAACUGACGGUACCUGCAGAAUAAGCACCGGCUAACUACGUGCCAGCAGCCGCGGUAAUACGUAGGGUGCAAGCGUUAAUCGGAAUUACUGGGCGUAAAGCGUGCGCAGGCGGUUCGGAAAGAAAGAUGUGAAAUCCCAGAGCUCAACUUUGGAACUGCAUUAUUAACUAGCGGGCUAGAGUGUGUCAGAGGGAGGUGGAAUUCCGCGUGUAGCAGUGAAAUGCGUAGAGAUGCGGAGGAACACCGAUGGCGAAGGCAGCCUCCUGGGAUAACACUGACGCUGAGGCACGAAAGCGUGGGGAGCAAACAGG